GCCUGGAUAGCUCAGGUGGUUAGAGUCUGGUGCUGAUAACACCUAGGCUCCAGGUUCAAUCCCCACAUGGGGCA